AGAACGAACGCUGGCGGCAUGCCUAAUACAUGCAAGUCGAACGAACACUUCGGUGUUAGUGGCGCACGGGUGCGUAACGCGUGGGAAUCUGCCCUUGGGUUCGGAAUAACAGUUGGAAACGACUGCUAAUACCGGAUGAUAUCGAAAGAUCAAAGAUUUAUCGCCCAGGGAUGAGCCCGCGUAGGAUUAGCUAGUUGGUGAGGUAAAGGCUCACCAAGGCACGAUCCUUAGCUGGUCUGAGAGGAUGAUCAGCCACACUGGGACUGAGACACGGCCCAGACUCCUACGGGAGGCAGCAGUAGGGAAUAUUGGACAAUGGGGGCAACCCUGAUCCAGCAAUGCCGCGUGAGUGAUGAAGGCCUUAGGGUUGUAAAGCUCUUUACCCGAGAUGAUAAUGACAGUAGUCGGAGAAUAAGCUCCGGACUAACGUCCGACG
rnacentral:rRNA from 1 species